GGGCGCGCCCGGGCACGGCGGUGCUGGCGGGGCGCGGGCGGGGCAGCGCACAGGCCGGCCCUCUCGCGGGACUCAGUUUCCCCGUCUGCGCGCCCCACAUAUUCGCUUUCCGCAGGUUCUCUCGCUGAGAUUCGCGUCCUUCAAACUAAUGGAACUUUGCAAGGGGGCCCUGCGGCGGCUUCGCGUGGGAGCGCCGGGGAAAGUUCCUGCAAAUCGCCGGACUGGGGGCCCGCCCGGGAAGCUCGGACUGGGCCGGGCAGGGACUGCAGGGGCCUCUGCGCAGACCCGGGGCGUUGCGGCACCGCGGACCCCGGUCACGCGCUGGUUCUGCCCCCGGUACCCCGCACGCGGGACCCUGACCGCGGGGCCUCUGCGGCCGGACGAAGGCAGCGUCCGCGGAGCUGGCAGAAAGCCCGCGCCCAGACCCACAGUGAAGUGAUAAAAGCAGAGAGCAGAAAGGAGAAAACUGAGGGCCAGAAAGGGUGACUCCCCUGAGUGUCAUGCCACAAGUUGAGUGCUGGAGCCAGGACACCUUCCAAACCGGCUGUGCCUGCCUGCAAGCCCCAUCCUCCUCCAUCCCCCUGAGCAGCCAGACUGCAGAGGGAAUGAGCGGACCGAAAACAGUGUGGCCGCAACUUCCCCACUGCUUUGCGGGAGGUGGAGGGAGUUUCUAGGCUCUUUCCCUGUUGGGGAAUUAAGUAGCUGGGGAUCCCACUGAGUCUCCACCACCCUCUCACCCAUUUUCCACCCCUCCCCCACCACAUAUACAUUCUGCUCCCCCAGUGCCAAAUAACUUGCAUUUUCUGGAACACACCUGUCUGCUUACGGUCUCUGUGCCUUUCUUUGCCCACAUCUCCCCUCUUCUUGAAACACCCCUCCUCCCCUCCAGCGUGGGCUCAUGUGACCUAGAGAAGCACGUGGGAGCCCUGUCAUCUGGGGGACUUGGGUUCAAAUCCCACUUCUGGUCCUUAAGUCUGUGACUCUGGGCCUUUGUUUAAUAACUGGAGGAGUUUCAUUAGGAAAAUGGCAGUGACCACAUAUGUCCCUGGAGUGACUGAUGUGCCACCCACAAGCUUCUAUUUGGUCAGUGCUGGGUCCCAUCGUCCCAUCUAGCAUGCUCCUCUUCCAUCCUCGUGCCCCCACUCAGUGCCAUUGUCUCUGCCUCUCACCCUCUGUGCUGCUAUUCCUGCCCUCAUCACCUCCUCCCUAGGGCAGAGGCCCCGUCUUCUUUACCAUGCCCCAGUGCCAGCACAGUGCUUUGGCAAGUUAUUCAGCACUGGGGGAGUAGAGUGUAUGUGUGGUGGGGGAGGGGGUGGAGAAUGGGUAAGAGGGUGAUGGAGACUCAGGGGGACCCCCAGCUACUUAAUACCCCUGAGGAAGUGUCGGCCGAAGUGGACCCACUCCUGUGACAGUUCACAGCCUAGAAGAGGCGUCUGUAACCACGGUGACCAGUAAGUGCCAGCCCUGGGGCCACGUGGCUGUUCUAGAGAAGGAAGACAGCACUACCCUGAGAGCCAUGCUGGUGGCUUCAUCAGGAAGGGAGUCAGCAGGGGGAGGACUGGGGGACCAAGCGGUCCCUAAGAAGCAGAAUUUGCAAUACCCAAGGUUUUAGAAAGAGCAACCUGGCAGGGCCACUGCACAAUGAGAUCACAGACUCACCUCCCAGCUGUGAGUGCAGCUCACCCCACCUGCUCUGACCCAGGCACCGGUUAUGAAGAAGACAAGCAGCUCUACAGAGGGGCCUCAAGAAAUCCUUCGAAACAGAAAUCAAAGUCUUGCUGGAAGGGUUCUGGGCACCCUGGACUGUCCACAUGGGAGGCUGUUGGUGCGUGUGCCUACGUGUGUCCAUCAGUGGAUGCACGAAGAAGGAAAUGAAUUGAUUCCAUUCUUGAUGUGACUUUCAGCUGUCAGCUGUCUGCACUCCCAGACGGGGUGAUGGCCUGGCACCAACGGAGCAUUACCCUGAUGAAUCAUGGUCGAGGUACUUUUCCACUGGGCCAGCCGCCACAGCCCCUUCUCCAUCCUUCGGAGAGCUCUGUCACCUCGCCUUGUAGCACUUGUGUCUCUCCCACUGGCCUCCACUUCUUGUGGGCACUUUCUGGAUGCCCAGGCCUAAUCCAGCGCUGGCACUCAGUUAAUUCUCUCUUCCUUUAAAGGGAACAAUUACCACCUUGAGGAAGGAGGCCUGAAAGCUAAGUCUUUGCUAUUGCAUCCGCCUUCUUCUCACGAAGACCUGCAGCUUGAAAGGAGGGGAGGGAGAAAUAGCCCUAAGCUCCAGGAAGACCAAGCCCAGCCUCUGUGAUGAUUCCGAGGAAAUUCAGGAAAUCCUUGCUAAUGGCCAAACUUCCCGGGUUUGAGAUGCAAAAGGAAAUCAGAUCGCAGGGUAAUGCUUUUACACUAAGCAAGAAAUUGCAGGAUAUAAAGCUGUGCAGACCAUUGCCUCUGAUUAAGAAAGCGAUUCUGAGAUUCCAGCCUGGAAGGAACCGGGCCCCAGUGUUAACUGUGGUUAAUUCUGGGUGGAGGGGUGAUGGGUGAUAAUUUCUCCUUUUUCUUUUCUGUACUAACCAUUAAUACUGGGGGGAUGGGCAGUUAAAAAUCAAAGGAAGAAAACAUAAAGAAAGCCAAAUCCUUUUCCAUCUGUAGCCAUUCAAGCUACUGCCUGGACACGCUCUCCUUGAAGCUGGGGCUCCUCUCUCAGCCCCACCUAACAUGGCCCACCUCCUUCCUGGGGUCACUCCGUGUUCCUCAAGCACUUCAAACUCAUCCUCUCCUGCCUCUGAGCUGAGCAUAUGGGCCUCUCCCCUUCCUUUAAAAGCUCCAUCCGUGACUGCCUUCUGGGGGUCAGCCACAUAGCUGAGUGAGGACCACAUGCUUCACACCAAAUGAUACAAGAAGCUUGUUCCAAAUCUAUGUGGGUUUUUUGACAUUUUAGAGAGCAGAUGCUUUCCCAUGCUUUCUAAUUCCCUAUUACAUCUAUACAUCUCUUUUAAAAGAUCCUGCAAGUCCUUUUAGUGUCUGGACACAGGUUAUUCCCUCCCUUUCUUUUUUCCCAAUUUCACCUGCCCCAGUCCUCCUGGUCAGUGCUUCUGUUUCCUGCACAAGGAAACAGCCUUGCAAACAUGGUGAACCCUGAAAGCAUGCUGGAAAUGAAAGAAGCCAGGUACAAAAGACAACAUACUAUAUGAUUUCAUUCACAAGAAAUGUGUGUAACAGAAAAAUUUACAGAGACAGAAAAUAAAUUCCUAGUUGCUUAGGGCUGGGAGAGUGGGGUGAGGCCUCUCUACAGAGAUGGCAAUGCCCAGGAUUCAAUCUGAAGAUGUUGUUUAGAUAUCACAGCAUAGUCGGACAAUAGUGAGGACAGUCUGGCAUUGGCGUACAGAUGAACAAAUAGAUUUGUGCAAUAGAAGAAGCCAAACCAGAUUCCAGCCUACCUCCAGUCACCUGAUUUAACAAAGUCAAAGUCACAAAUCAAUAGGGAGAGGAUGGUCUUUUCAGUAAAUGAUACCGUAUCAAUUGACUCGUCAUAUACAGAACAAAAUGAACUUUGGUCCCAUACACACACAAGUCAUAAAAGUUCACUCAAAGUGAAUGAUAGACCUACAUUUGAAAACAAAAGCAAUGCAGGAUCCAGGAGAAAGGGUCCAGGCAGGAGAAUAUUUUUAUGACCUUGGACUAAGCAAGAGAUUCAUAAACAGGACACAAAACCACUAACCACCAAAAAAAAGGACUGAUAAACAUGACAAUUAAAAUGAAGAAUUUAUGUUUAUCAAAAACAAAAAGGGGAACCAUCGACUGGGAGAACAUAGUUACAACACUUGUAUCCAACUGAGAAUUUAUAUUCAGGUUAGAAGACUCAAAAACAAAAAGGCAAGCAAUCCACUAAGAACAAAUUCUGGGCAGAAGACUUCACAAAAGAUCUGCAAAUGACCAAUGACAUCAGGUAAACAUGGAUUGAAACAACAAGAAGACACACCCACAAGAUCCGUGACAAUUUUGAAAAUGAAACCCUGAGGCAGGCAGAAUUCUAAGGUCAUGUCCCAGAUUCCCCCUCUUGGUGUCCGAGCCCUGCACAGUCCACUUGAGUAGGGGCCAGACCUGUGGAUAUGAUGGAUGUCUCUUCUGUGAUCAGGUUACAUCAUAUGCCAAAGAUGGAGGGAUUUUGUGAUUAAGUCUCUAAUCAGUUUACCUUCAAGUUCAUCAAAAGCGAGAGUGGCCUAGGUUGGCCUGGCUUACUCAGGUGAGGCCUUUAAAAGAGAGCUCAAGCCUGCCCUGAGCUUGGAGAGAUUUUCCUGCUAGCCUUGAAGAAACAAACAGCUGUGAGUUCUGCAGCUUCACAGAAAUGAAUUUGGCCGACAAUCAUGUGAGCUCCAUUAGAAAUGCACCCUAAGCUCUCUCAACCUCUCCCAUCCCCCACAGCACCUAUUUACUGAUUAUCUGUACAUGAUAGCAGGGCAGGAACUAGACUCUCAGCCCCCUGAGGACAGACCUUGUCUGUCAGUGCAUUUCACUGUCUGUCCCAGCACCUUGCACAGAGCCUGGCACAUAUCAAGAACACGGCACAUUUUUAUUGAGACAGACUCCUCAAAGCUGGAAUCUAAAACCAAUGGCACCUAAUCUCAGCCAAAAAGGUUAAUGUGACACCUGUGCUUUUAUUACCCAUUUCUGCAGAUGGAAGGGUUGGUUGUUUGUGGCUAUCUCAAGUGAAAUGCAGAAUUAGUGAAUAAAAUUUUCAUCUGAAUUUAAAGAAAAUCUUAA